UUUCUCCUGCAGGGUACGUGCAUAGCCUUCGGGCUUUGCCCUGUGUAAAAACCCACAAGAUCGAAAGGGAGUUCGGAGUUUUGGGGCGGUGAAGCAGGCCUCCCGUUUGCAUUCUGCGAACGGAUGUUGGAAGCACUAAUGCACCAAACAGAACACCCACCUGCACAAAGCAGGGUUUCAAUCUCACGGGGGCACGGCCCAGGCGGGGAUAAA
rnacentral:other from 1 species